AUUGAACGCUGGCGGCAUGCCUUACACAUGCAAGUCGAACGGCAGCACGGGUGCUUGCACCUGGUGGCGAGUGGCGAACGGGUGAGUAAUACAUCGGAACAUGUCCUGUAGUGGGGGAUAGCCCGGCGAAAGCCGGAUUAAUACCGCAUACGAUCUACGGAUGAAAGCGGGGGACCUUCGGGCCUCGCGCUUUAGGGUUGGCCGAUGGCUGAUUAGCUAGUUGGUGGGGUAACGGCCUACCAAGGCGACGAUCAGUAGCUGGUCUGAGAGGACGACCAGCCACACUGGGACUGAGACACGGCCCAGACUCCUACGGGAGGCAGCAGUGGGGAAUUUUGGACAAUGGGCGAAAGCCUGAUCCAGCAAUGCCGCGUGUGUGAAGAAGGCCUUCGGGUUGUAAAGCACUUUUGUCCGGAAAGAAAUCCUUGGCCCUAAUACGGUCGGGGGAUGACGGUACCGGAAGAAUAAGCCCCGGCUAACUACGUG
rnacentral:rRNA from 1 species